AGGGCUGCUGCAGCAUUGGCCCGGAGCUGCAGCCACACGGGCCGGGUAAGCAGCAGGCGCUCUCGAAGGCUCACGGUGCGUGUGGGCCACUGGGGCCCACCUGCCUGAUCCCCACUGGCACCAGUUAGGCUUCUCCCAGGACUCAGGAAGAGAAUUCAGCCCCCAGGCACAGGCGCACAUUCCCAGCGACAGUAAACUCCUCGACGCCAGGCUCCAACGGAAGGCAGACUCCUCCCCACAACCACAGAAGCCAACUUAGAUUCUCCGAGGCUCUCCGGGAGCCUCCCACCUCGCUCCACCCUCAGAUGUGCGGGCUAGAGAACAGAAGGCUGUUACGCUGUCUGCCGCGGCCCGGCUGCCUCACUGCCCAGCGCUCGUCACGCCGGGUUAAGUCUCAUCUCUGGCUCGGGAGGAGAUUGUGUUGGCUCCAACCGGCUGACCGGUUGGCAAAACCAGAUAGCAGGCGUGGGGAUACGCACCUU